AGAUGGGGGGGGGGGAGAAAAUGAUCUUUGUCUCUAAUGAAUAAUGUUUGGAAAUGAUCAAAUAAAAUAUUGUUUUUAAAAAACCAAUUAAACAUAUGUAAACAGUGUUUAGAUGAACAACAUAUAAUCUUUGUAUUGGGGCACAACAAAUUCAAAGCACUGAUUGUCACAUCAGUACUUCAGAGAGCUUAGACAGAUAGUGGUUCUGUAAGAGUUUAUUCUCUUCCUCUUCUGCAAGGAAUCCCUGCCUUGGCCUCAAAGGGAGGAUACCUAUUCAACAGUGCAAAAGGCAAGGUUUGAGAGAUUGACAAUGCCUCUGAUUUUGACAGAGGCAGGUUAAAUAUAGCUUCUUUUUGCCACCUUGACAGAAAGUACAAUUUGAAUCCUAGCUCUAUCACUUACUAGCUAUGUAACCUUGAACAGAUUACUUCAUCUAAGGUGGUUAUGGAUAAUGAUUAGGAAACUGUUCAAGUAGGCAGGAACCCUUAGGAUCUUUCUUCCUGCCUUUUCUAUUACACAUCUGCAUUUGCAUGAACUGUUAGCAUCUUCAGUGCACCAUAUCCAGAACUAAAAUUUGCCAUAAUUCCCCUGAAUAUCUUCCCUUCUUUUAUGUUUAACUCUGUUCUUGUAUUCAUUUAGACUCAAAACCUCAUUGUUGUCUUUAGUUCUUCUUAAUAGCUUUUCCUCAAAUGAAUUAUCAAGCUUUGUCCUUUUUAAUCUCAGGAUUAUCCUUCAUUUACACUGACAUAACAGUCUAGGCCUCCUUUACCUUUUGCCUUGGCUGAUGAGUACUCUCCACACCAUUCUCAACAAACUCUUUCUUCUCCCUUUCCUCCUUUCCCUCCCAACUUGGUCCAUUUUGUCUUCCUCCAAAUAAUCCACACUAUUGCUUUAUUAAUCUUUUAUAAACUUUUACCUUACUUAGAAUCAAUAGAACCUUAGAAUCAAUACUACGUAUUGGUUCCAAGGCAGAAGAGGGGUAAGGGCUAGGCAAUAGAAGUUAAGUGACUUGCCCAGGAUCAUAUAGCUAGAAAGUAUAAAAGGCCAGAUUUGAACCUAGGACCUCCUGUCUCUAGGCUUGGCUCUCAAUCCACUGAACUACCAGCAUCUUUCAGGUAUUUAUCAUGUUUCUGUUUUGUAUUUUGUUACUUAUGUACUUAUCUUAUUUUUGCUCCUAGAUUAUAGACCUUUUGAACACAUUUCUUAUUUAUAACUUCUAUAUCUUCCAAACCUCUCUUUCAAUGCAUUGCACAUAGUAGGGCAUACAUGAUAACUUUUGCUUUUCCUCUGAAAAUAAAUGAAAUUUUAAAAAAAUUAAAAGAUUAGUUUGUUGCCAUUUCACCAGAGUUUCUUGGAAGGUUUUGGGGAGGUAUAUAACUGAAGUCUGGCUUUGAAUUAUGGUUAAUAUUUGGAAAGUGUAUAUUGGGAACAGUACCUAUAAAAAUAGUAUGGUAUGGUAUGGUAUGGUAUGGUAUGGUGUAUGGUAUGGUAUGGUAUGGUAUGGUAUAGUAUAGUAUAGUAUAGUAUAGUAUAGUAUAGUAUAGUAUAGUAUAGUAUAGUAUAGUAUAGUAUAGUAUAGUAUAGUUGUUAGAUUUAAAAUAGUUUGAGCGUUAAAUAGUUGUAGAUAAGAGAGUGGGAGCCAUAAACUGUGAUAAUUAAAAUGUUUGGGAGCAAGGGAAAUAUAUAACAAUUAUGACCGCUGAAAUAUGUUUUCUACUGUGUCUUGGUUUUAUAUAAAUAUAAGAUGGUCGCCAGGGAAUAUAUUCCCAAUUUAUGAAUAUGCCCAAGCCAACUGGGUUUUAUAGAGAAAUUUAAUUUAUAAUACAAUGAUUAAUCAAUAGAAAAAGAGAGAAAGUAAGAAAGGAAUAAGAAUGAAGGGCCUCAAGCCAAUAAGGCCUAGACCUCAGUCCUAAGAGAGAAAUCAGUCAGUUGGUUUUAUCACUCACCCAAGAUCUCUCUAGGUAAGGCUUCUCAUGCCAACCUCAGGCUCCACCUUCAAGAGAGCCUCCUUUCAAGAAAUGUUCCAGAGAAUUCUCCUCCUGACUCCUCCUGAGUUCUCCUUCCACAGCCUCCUUCAAGAUCUCUCCAGGAGCUCUCCCUCCAGGACCUCUCUCCUCUCAGACCUCCUUCAGAGCAAGCCCCCUCCUCUAGUCCUCAGACCCCGCUAUCUUUUAAGGAAACCAUCUAAGUUCCCUCCCCUCAGUUCUCACAUCUACCAAUCACUGUCGAUGUCUCCCCUGUGCCAAUGGUGGCUCUAGCUUAACCCAGGACCGCCCAGAGGUCUGUCCCCUUUGCACAUGUCUGUUGAAGGUCAUAUUCUUAAAUAAUUAAAUCUUGAUCUUUGCUGCAGCCCUUCCUAGAUCCUGUUACUCUGAGUAGGGUGGAGUUUGUAGUUUGUAUUUUGUAGUUUCCAAGACCUGGUUCUGUCAUUCCAAGUAUCUCUAUUGUAUCAAUUCUAAAAUCAAUCAUGACUCAAAGAACUUUCUGUUCUAUGCUUAAGCAUAGGUCAAAGCCCUUUCCAUUGUUUAGCAAGAGGUUUCUGUCCUAAAGUAGUCUUAAGUAGGGAGGAGAAGGAUCCUCCCAUGCCAAGGAGUUUCAUAUUCCAAUAGAGUUCUUACUAUAAGGAAAUUUUUUCAAGUAUGAAAUUUCCCAAUGGGGAAAUUUCCAACAUUCAUAAGUCUAAGAAAUUUUAAGGUUUACAUAGUGUAGUGUAGUGUAGUGUAGUGUAGUGUAGUGUAGUGUAGUGUAGUAUAGUAUAGUAUAGUAUAGUAUAGUAUAGUAUAGUAUAGUAUAGUAUAGUAUAGUAUAGUAUAGUAUAGGUGAAAAAGCCCUUCUAAAUUGGGGAGUGUAUGAGAGGAGCAACUGCCAAUAAAGGAGAGAAAAA